UACGUAGGGUGCAAGCGUUAAUCGGAAUUACUGGGCGUAAAGCGUGCGCAGGCGGUUCUAUAAGACAGAUGUGAAAUCCCCGGGCUCAACCUGGGAACUGCAUUUGUGACUGUAGAGCUGGAGUACGGCAGAGGGGGAUGGAAUUCCGCGUGUAGCAGUGAAAUGCGUAGAUAUGCGGAGGAACGCCGAUGGCGAAGGCAAUCCCCUGGGCCUGUACUGACGCUCAUGCACGAAAGCGUGGGGAGCAAACAGG
rnacentral:rRNA from 1 species